UGAUUGAAACUAAAUCAAUCAUGAGAUCAACUAUGUGAAGCACCAAAAAACUCCGGGGUUUUUGGAAAACAAGCUGAGUAAGCUGCAAUUGUAAUUAAUAAAGCUUGGCUCUGACUUGUAAGUAUAGCGAUAAACUAAGGAAUACACAUGGUUUUAUUUGAUUGAGGUGAGGUAAAAGGGAAGAAUAUUGAUAUGAAAAAUUUCAAUAUUAUUCUUUUUUUUGGUAUUAUGAAAAACAUAAUGCCUUGCAACGUCCCACUAACACCAGUGCUGGAGAUUAGGUUAAUAAACGUAAGUUUGACCUAGAUUAGUUUUUAAGAUCUGGUUAACUUGGUGCCAGCAUCCGCGGUUAUACCAAGAGAUCAAGCUAUACACACAAAGGUAAAAAGGUAGUUAGGUAAAAAAAUUUAGUUUUAAGAUUUUUUAUUAGGAAGUGAAAUUCGCAAAUAAAAAAAUAUUUUAUUUAGAACUAAAUAUACCGAAUCUGCGACAAUCUUGAGGGAAACUGGGAUUAGAUACCCCAUUAUUCUUGAUUAUAAAUUAAUAUAUAAUUUACCAGAGUACUAUGAACACACAGUUUAAAACUCAAAGGGCUUGGCGGUGCUUUAGACUAUUCAGGGGAACCUGUCUCGUAAUCGAUAGUCCACGAUACACCUAACCUUUUUUAGUUAUCAGUAUGUAUACCGUCGUCGUCAGGUAACUUUUAAAAAUAAAGAAGUUAGCGACAAAAAUUAUAAUAAUUUUGUACGUCAGAUCAAGGUGCAGCUUAUAAAAAGGUGAGGAUGGGUUACAAUUAAGAUUUAUAAUAACGGAAAAAAGCUUGAUAUAGCUUUUAAUGAAGGAGGACUUGAAAGUAAAAUUGUUAUAUACAAAUUUUUUGAAUUUAGCUCUGAAGCGUGCACACAUCGCCCGUCGCUCUCGUUGAAAAAUGAGAUAAGUCGUAACACAGUAGGGGUAACGGAAGUUGUCCCUAGAUG
rnacentral:rRNA from 1 species